rnacentral:rRNA from 1 species
UGGCGGACGGGUGAGUAACGCGUCGGUAACCGUGCCUUACACACGGGCGGAGUAACACCUGGAAACAGGUGCUAAUACCGCAUAAGCGCACAGGGCCGCAUGGCCCCGGUGUGAAAAACUCCGGUGGUGUAAGAUGGACCCGCGUCUGAUUAGCUUGUUGGCCGGGGUAGAGGCCCACCAAGGCGACGAUCAGUAGCCGGCCUGAGAGGGUGAACGGCCACAUUGGGACUGAGACACGGCCCAAACUCCUACGGAAGGCAGCAG